UGAUGGUGCAGUACUGUGGACCCCGGUGAGACAUUGGUGCCUAAUAGAGGGGAUUCUGGAGUUGGGGAGACCACCAAAUCUUUGUGAUGCAGGAAACGGAAUUGUGCUAAGAGCAUCAGUUCCGAGGGCAGGGUGCCAACUGGAGUGGUGGCGCAGUGCGCGGAGUCAGUGCUGAAGUAAAUUGAGGUGGCGCCGUUGUGUUAGGAGCAUUAGCCUGCAGCAUGGGAUUAGGAGUGGGUGUUGGUACUGUCUCCUUUGGUGCUAUUGACGGUGCUGUGGUGGAAGCAGGCAACUUAGAGCCAUUAACCUUGGCACCUGAGCGGCUGGUGCUGGCUGCGGCUGCCGCACAGACGGUGCUGAGCCGCGGAGCAGCUGGCACCAAUGAGAGCAAUUUGGUCAGCAAACGUUUUGCAGUGGUCUGCUCUCUGUGAGGCCGAAAGCGUAACAACUGAAACUUAACUUAUCUAAACUAACCUAAUUUACUAAUUUAAACUACUAUCUAUUUGAAAAAAAUGAAGAUUUUCAAUGGGACUGCUGAGCUCCGUCUCAGGCCGGGGAUGGUUGAGAAGGAAUUGAAGAGUACUGGUCGCGCAUACACUAUUGAGGAGCCAACGGUGCGUGCGGCAGGCACCGUGCGUGCAUGACCCGUACGGGCACUGCUGCAAAACUCUCAGAGCAAAAGUUCAGGGACGCACCUUCAUCUGGAGUGGAGCACCCACAGGGACAUCUUGCAAAGAAGAAACCUAGCAAAUGCUCCAAUUUCAAGUUUCCAUUUGUGGAUCUUGACAAAAGAAUAAAGAAGUCUUUACAUAGAGGGCA